rnacentral:lncRNA from 10 species
AAAGCCAUUUCUGGCACUGACCAUCUACAGUUAGUGCAGACUCCAUAAGUUAAGGGCUUAAUCCUUCACAAAUCUUCUCUUCAGAUUCCAGCUGUACUUUGGGGGUCCCCAGGUCACCCACACUUCUGAACAACUAGCUAUAAAUUUGGUGAUUCCCAUGACCCUGUUAGUGUUACCGUGGGUCUUUGCUCACAGAGCUCCCAAGAUGGUGGUGAGCCGCUUCCAAGAUGGUGGCAAGCCUUGUGUUCUCUGACUUGGGGUUCUUGGCCUCACGGAUUCCAAGGAAUGGAAUCUUGGGCCAUGCGAUGAGUGUUAUAGCUCUAUUAGAAGCCGUGGGUCACGGAAGAGAACUGUGGAACCCAGUGACUAGUGUUCAGCUCGAUUAGGACGAACCCAGGCACUUAGCCGUGCAAGAACAAUGGGAAGCCUUUAGCACGAUCGGGAGUGGCAAUGGGAGUCUCACUGGGUCAGGAGCACAGCAGACACCCUGCCGGAUCUGGAGGGAUGGGAGUCAGCAGCAGGAUGGGAGUCAGCGGCAGGUCUGCGACAGUGGCAAACAGCAGUGGUGGACGGGGAGCGAAAGCUCAGCUCGAGCCGUAACAAACAUGGACCAGAAGAGUGCAGUUGCAAGAUUUAAUAGAGUGAAAACAGAGCUCCCAUACAAAGGGAGGGGACCCAAAGGGGGUUGCCAUUGCCGGCUUGAAUGCCCGGGUUUAUAUCCCGAUCCUUGUCCCUCCUGCUGUGCUCUCAGGCAAAAGGUGAUUGGCUAUUUCUUUACCUCCUGUUUUUGCCUAAUUAGCAUUUUAGUGAGCUCUCUGAUUGGUUGGGUGUGAGCUAAGUGGCAAGCCCCAUGUUUAAAGGUGGAUGCAGUCACCUUCCCAGCUACGCUUAGGGAUUCUUAGUCGGCCUAGGAAAUCCAGCUAGUCUUGUCUCUCAGUGCCCCCUCUCAACAGGAAAACCCAAGUGCUGUUGGGGAGGUUGGCUGAUGACCGCUGUAACUGCUUCCUGCUGAAUUGGGGCAUAGUAGGGGUUGCACAGUUGAGAUUUCCUCGGGGGGGGUGCCUUCGAUGUCAUUAACAUCGGAGCAUGGGCUAGCAGGCUGGUCCAGGGGUCUGUGGUGGAUCUUAGUCAUGGACUGCAUCUGGGGCUCCAUUUGAAGAACCAUUUGUAGUUUUACAGUUUCAAUUCUGGAAGAGACAAACUUAACAAGGAGGUUAAAGAUACAGGGAUUGAAAUGUAUGGCCUGCAGUGCAGGGAAUUACUUCUUUGGCACACUUUACAGGCCCUGACUAUCUGCUUGAUAGUUUUGAAAGACCUGGUCCAGUAAAUAAUAAUUUGGCCAUCUGAUGGGUGCUAUCAAUGCCUAAGUGAAAGAUUUGGUGAAGGGUUUAAAGUAAUUUCCAUUGGUUAGCUGCAGGCAUAAGUAUUUUUCCUUCUUCGGUGGCUAGCCAUCUUGAGGAGAGGAAACUAUGUCUUCUUGAGGUUCCUCAUUCUAUUUCUUCUUCUGAGUACUGGGGCUUGGUUUCCUGGAGGGGAUUACCUCAUACUAGGGGUCCUUCUAUAAGCAUUUCUAAUGGAGGGUCCUGCCUUGUGGCUCUUUUGGCUUCAAUAUCUGCUUGGCGGUUCCCUUCUAUUUCCCUUUCCUUUCCUUUGUGGUGACCCCGGCAGUGUAAGACUGUCACCUCUUUAGGUUUCUGUACAGCCAAUAGUAAUCUCCUAAUGGCUUCCAGAUGUUUGAUAGGUGUUUCCUUGGAAGUUAGGAAUUCCCUUUCUCUCCAUACUGCUGCAUGGGCAUGGAGGACUAGGUGAGCAUACUUAGAGUCUGUAUAUAUAUUUACCCUUUUCCCUUCUCCUAAUUCUAGUUCCCGAGUGAGGGCUAUUAGUUCUGCCAGCUGAGCACUAGUUCCUGGAGUGAGGGGAUUACUUUCAAGUAUUCCAUUAUCACUAACCACUGCAUACCCUGCUUUUCAAAGCCCUUUUUCUACAAAGGAACUUCCAUCAGUAUACAAGUUGAGGUCGGGAUCAGUCACGGGAACCUCUAAAAGGUCCCCUCUAGCGGCACUGGUUUGAGCAAUUACUUGUUGACAGUUAUGUUCUAUCUUUUCUUCAUUGUCUGGAAGAAAUGUGGCUGGGUUAAGAGUUGCACAAGUGCACAGUCGCAGCACUGGCCCUUCAAGUAAUACAGCUUGAUAUUUAAGUAAAUGGUUGUCUGACAGCCACAAGUCUCCUUUAGCAGUGAGUAUGCUGUUUACAUCAUGAGAUGGCCACACAGUAAGAUCACCUGUAUUAUUUUAACUGCUUCAGAUACUAAGACUGCUACUGCUGCCACUAUCCGUAAACAAUGGGGCCAACCCUUUACCACUCCAUCAAUUUCCUUACUCAGGUGUACAAUAAUAGAGAAGAGGCAGCCAAGUGACAAGGCAUCUCUGAGUUACAGCUACUCGCCUCUGCUGUAAGACAACCCACAACCACGUCUCCAGCACACAAAAACUUCAGAACAUCCAAGCCACAGUUCCCAGGGGCUCCUUCAAAACCUCCUCGUGGACCUGGCUUCAAAUGCCAAAAGCCUGGCCACUGGGCCUGAGAAUGCCCACAGCUCGGGAUUCCUCCUAGGCCGUGCCCUGUCUGUGUGGGCCCCCACUGGAGGUUGGACUGUCCGACUCACAUCGCCACCAUUCCUAAAGCUCCUGGAGCUCAAACCCAACGUUCCUUGGCUGACUCCUUCCCACAUCUGCUCGGCUUAGCAGCUGAAGACCGACACUGCCCAAUCGCCUUGGAAGCCCCCUGGACCAUCACAGACGCGCGUGACAGUCCCCAGCACUGCAGAGAUCUGAGAUCCAAUAACAGUCUGCAGAGGUCUACUCACACCAUAGCCACUGCUCUGGGAUUCCCAUUCCAUUUAGGCCUCCUGAUUGCCCCAUGUGUCCUUACAAUAAACAACGCUUCACUUAAAGACUUGAUUCCUUACAAACAAAGGCCUGGUAGACUAAGCGCGCCGAGUCAAAGAGAUGGCCCCCAACUAUGUGUUCCCAGUACUAGAUUGACUUCUUAGUGCCACACGUUAAGGAUCAAGCCGAAAGGGAGUGAUGAGUAAGCUGCAAAUAAAGUCUGUAAAAGAACUAUAGAAGGGGCCGGGCUGGGUAACUCACGCCUGUAAUCCCAACACUUUUGGAGGCGGAGGCAGGCAGAUCACCUGAGGUCAGGCAUUCAAAACCAGCCUGGCCAACAUAGUGAAACCUCAUCUCUACUAAAAAUACAAAAAUUAGCCGGGCGUAUUGGCACGCCCCAAUAAUCCCAGCUACUCCAGAGGUUGGGAGGCUGGGGCAGGAGAAUUGCUUAAAUCUGGAGGUGGAGGUUGCAGUGGGGCCAAGAUCGCACCAUUGUACUCCAGCCUGGGUGACAGAGA